GACCAUUCUGUCCUCUGUGGACACAGCAUCCAUCCCUUCCAGAGAACACAGCAUUCAAGGCAUCGUAUCAGAAGCACAGGACUGUGCUCUCACCGGACACCAAACCUGUCAGUGUCUUGAUCUUGGACUUCCAGCUAUUUCCAGGUCAAUCAAAAAAGCUGACUGAAGCUCACCGACCUGGAACUCUUCUGCUUACUUCUUCAUUUAUUUGCCUUCUCCACCCUUCUCUGUUAAAAGAGACUGACCUGUUGGAGCUACCAGAAAGUCAAAGGGAGAGAGAACAGUGACUAGAGAACUAUUAUUCCCACAGUUCUCUCUGUUGCUUUAUCUUUUCCUGGCUGUUGACGCCACCACUCAAGGUGGUUCUCUCCAUUGAAUUCUUUCCUUCCAGGUUCUGGUAACUACAAUUGCACAUCCCUGUUCAGGCUAACAGAACGUGUUAUUAUUGGCUCUAGUGUACUGUGAUAUAUCUUUUAGAGAAUUUUAAUUUCAAAGUAGUCCCUUUAUUAACACUUUCUUAAAUUAUACUAAUUUUAGUUCACAGUGGGAACCAAUCUGAUACAUUUAUCAUAGAAAUUGAUCUAAUACACUGAGGCUUAUAUGAGAGUUUUGAAGAAAGAUGAUUUUAUCCACAUCCUGGCUAAACUAUAGAGAAAAAAUGCACAAUCUAAUAUCAAUGACUUAACGUCAUAGUGUCUGGUUUGGAUUAUAUGUCCAUUAUAGGUUGCCAAGUGGACUUUAUCAAUAUAUCUAAGGAACACCAUAAGCUCCAUAGAAAUACAACUCUAGCAUUUCAGAGUCAAGAAAAAAAAAGAUUUUUAAAAAUCAUUGUCAGUGGUUUAAGUUCUGCCCAGAAGGUCAUUUUUCUUAUGUUUUUCUGGCAUAUAAGUCACAUAGUUUAACCUGACCUUAUAAUAUGGCAUUUUUCAAGAUGGGACCCAUAUAUGGUUGAACACCAAUGCAUUCUGUCAUUCUGGCCAUCAAAUAUUUGGUUUCCUCCUCACCCAUGUAUGAAACAUUUUUACCCAAUCCCAAAUUUCCCACCUAAUCAGCAUAUCUAGCACUAGGCCCAAGAUCCCAUUGUGUUUUGUGAUUUCUUCUAUGUCAGAUGUACAUGGCUUCUUUUGCUCUGGACAACUGAAAACUAAAAGAAAAGAGCAAUAGUUAUUGUCCUUCAUCACACAAAUGUGCAAUAUAAAAAUGAGAUAACUGAGCAGAAACAUUACAUAUGUAUACAUAUACACACACACACAUAUGAUAUUUAAGAGAUAAAAUAGGAGGGAGGCUUAUGCGUCUUUGUUAAAUAAGAUUCUAAAACCUCACUGGAUAUGUAUUAAAAGGAAUAUGGUUCUUAGAGGAGCAAAUGUUCUUUGUCAGACACUUAUUUCACUCUCCUUGUCAUCAUUUAUCAUCGUUCUUCUUGAUCUUUGGUUCUGUCUUCUGUAAGAUCUUUUUUAUUUCUGUUACACUUGAUUACAUCAGAUGGAAGUUACUUUGAAUGGAGGUCCCACUGGGACUUAUUCUAGAAAUUUAAAAGAAAACUUUUUUAAUAGUAACAUUCUUUUAAAUUUUUUGCUCAGCAUGUUUCACUUAAAAAUAAAACGGUGUUAAAGAUGUGUGUGUAUAUAUGUAUACACACACACACAUUUAUAUGUGUAUAUAUGAAAAGUAAUUAAGAAAAUGUCUAUGUAAAUGCAUGAUGUUUCCUUACUAUUAUCCUACCAUAAAAGACAUUUCAGGAAAGAAAUAGAAUAGUCACAAAGUAUAGGACAAAACAGAUUAUAAGAAUACAAAGGAGUCAAAAUUAAAUGUAGUAUAAAUUAAUUAUUUUAUUAGUUUAAAAUGAAUCUUGUCAAUUAAACUAUUAUCUUAGCGAUUAAGAGAUUUCAUACCAUAUAGCCAAUAAAACUAGAUGUAUGGUUCUGCUGGGAAUUAAGUAAUUGGGUAUGUUUUUAUGCCUCAUUAUUAAUGACCUCAUAUGCUAUUUUAGGCCAGUGCCUACUUACUAAUUUGAAUAAUUCUGUUUUUAUGAUAGCCUCAGUACUAUAUACUUCUAGUAUAAUAUAUAGUACUUACUAUAUAUUAAGCCUCUGGAAUUAUUUCCCACUGGAAUCAUUUAAAUUUAUAGAAAAUUAUUAAAGAUGUAAAAUUAUUAGCAUGCUAAUAAAAGUGUUAAAUAGGGGUAGUCUCACCAAAAGUAAUAAGUACUUUUGGACAGUCAACAAUUUAAACUCAAAAUUAAAAGUAUAAUCACAGAUUUUCAAACCUACUUUCCAUUUUAUUAUCUAAAUGAAAGACAUCUAGAAAUUGAAGAUAAUGUAUUUUAAGAGUUUCAUAGAAAACAUUAAAAUUUAAUGUCACAUGUAAUAAGAUUUGGUGUCAUAAAUACUAAAUAUAGAUAAUUAUGUUUAAGGAAUACAGCUAUGAAAUAAACAAAUUAAGUAUGUAAUCAGAAUAAUGAUUAUUUGUAUCAAAUAUUAUUAUUUAUUUAUUUAUUUAUUUUGAGACAGGCUGUCACUCUGCCGCCCAGGAUGGAGUGCAGUGGCACGAUCUCAGCUCACCGCAAACUUGGCCUUCUGGGCUCAAGCAAUUCUCCUGCCUCAGCCCUCCCAACUCCAAGUAGCUGGGAUUACAGGCACAAGCCACCAGGCCUAGCUAAUGUUUUUUGUAUUUUUUGUAGAGACAGGGUUUCACUAUGUUGCCCUGGCUGGGCUCAAACUCCUGAGAUCUAGCAAUACACCCGCCUCAGCCUCCCAAAGUGCUAGAAUUACAGGUGUGAGCCACCUCACUUGGCCUUUAUCAAAUUUUAGAGACAAUCAUGAUAUUUGUCCAAUCUAUACACUUAUUACAAAUGUGCUCAUAUGGUAUGGUGACAUUGCAAAUGACUGUUUCGUCUUAUUUAACAUUAACUUAAAUAUCUUAAGAAACUGAACAACAAAUUCCAAUUUUAUGUUCAAGUGUAUUAAUGUGAUAACUACUCACACAGUGAACUCUUGAAAGUUCCUUGACUAAAUAUUUUAAAAUUCAAAACUUCUCUCAGAAUAAAUGAGAGUUUUCUUGUUCAUGAUCUCUACUCAGGGCUGGCUUCUUGGCCAUGCAACCUGUGCAGUCUCACAGGGUCCUAGGUUUAGAAGGUCCUCAUACUUGGCUUUUCCAUGGAUGUUGUGAAAUUAUUUUUGAACAAGGAAGCCCACAUUUCCAUUUUGUCCUAGAACCCACAAAUUGUGUAGACUGUCCUGCUGUUAUCUAUUUUUUUCAUAUAGAAAUAAUUAUUUGGUAAUAUGCCUUAUAUUUUCUGCUUAAAAAAUUAAUUUAAAAAAAUGAAGGAAAAUAUGUGAAAAUAACCCAAAACUAAUACAAGAUAUGGAAGAUAACCAUUGCUCUUAUUACUAAAAUUUGUAUUAAAGAUGCGGCCUUCCUAUCACAAAGACCGUUUUGAGUUGCUUCAUGGAAAAAGCCAUUAAAUAAAUGGCUAGGAGACAGCCAAAGAUGAGGCCGUAUAAUAAAAGGAUGAGAACCUCAAGUAUAAAGGUUUAUCUAGAAAAAAUAUUUGGCUAUAGUUACUCAGCAAGAAAAUUUAUUUGAAGUAAUUAAUCCAUCAGGUUGUUAAGAUAAGAGUUUGUUGGGUUAUCUUGCCAAAGAAACUCCUUACAACAUGUAAUGAUUUCAAUCCCAUAAACUCUAAACUGAAUAAAACAGAAGAAGAACUAUAAAAAUUCAAUCCUCUAGGAAGACUAUCUUCCCGACAUCUAACACAGAAGCGGCCAAGAAGACUAAUGGGCAAGACUUCCCAGAAGAUAGAACCAAAGGACACGGUGGGUGAUAGUAAGGGCAAUCCUCUCAGAUUGCAGAAACAGUGCUGGCUGUUUGACUUAAUUUGUUAACCAAGGGCAAGAAAGUUAUACAUAUUGCAGGGUUUUUUUUUCAGUUGAAUUAUAUAUAUAUUUUCCUAUAAGAAAAUAACACCAAAAAAUAGCAAAUCAAACACACAAAUAAGUAAGUUAAUGAAAGAAUUGCAAAACACACUGAAAAUAGAAGAAAAAAAUGUAAGUUAGGAGUAGCAAUUAAUGAAAUACAGAUUAAACAUUUAUCUGUAUUUACGAAAUACAGGUAACAAAGAUGGAGAAGAAUAAAGAAGUCAAUGUCAAUUAAUUGAUAGGAUGAAAUUUUAUAACAUAAUUGUUACAUAGUAAUAGCCGAUAAGCCAAUUAUAAAUUCUGGUAUUAAGAAUUAUCAAUUUAGAAUUAAAACCGGUUUUGUUUAGGGGGUUCAACACCUGUCACUGUAGCUCUUAUUAUUCUCUUUCAAUUAUCUAUCUAUGUAUCU
rnacentral:lncRNA from 10 species